UGGGGAAUCUUGCGCAAUGGGAGAAAUCCUGACGCAGCAACGCCGCGUGGGUGAUGAAGGUCUUCGGAUCGUAAAGCCCUGUCGGAGGGGAAGAUGCCUAACGUGGCUAAUAUCCACGGGAGGUGACGGUACCCUCAAAGGAAGCAACGGCUAACUCUGUGCCAGCAGCCGCGGUAAUACAGCGGGUGCAAGCGUUGUUCGGAAUUAUUGGGCGUAAAGCGUGCGUAGUCGGCUUUUCAAGUCGGGUGUGAAAGCCCCGGGCUCAACCUGGGAAUUGCAUUCGAUACUGGAUGGCUAGAGUUCGGCAGAGGGAAGUGGAAUUUCGGGUGUAGCGGUGAAAUGCGUAGAUAUCCGAAGGAACAUCAGUGGCGAAAGCGACUUCCUGGACCAGAACUGACGAUCAGGCACGAAAGCGUGGGGAGCAAA
rnacentral:rRNA from 1 species